rfam:TPA: Bos taurus chromosome 19, whole genome shotgun sequence.
UCCCUGGCGGUCCAGUGGUUAAGACACUGCACUUCCAACGCAAAGGGUGUGGGUUCAAUCCCUGGUCAGGGAA